ensembl:lncRNA
CUGCCUCUGCCUCCCGUGCUGGGAUUAAAGGGAUGCGCCACUACCACCUGGCUCCAGUAAGCACUCCUAGCAAAUGAACCAUAUGUUUAUCCACCUCCAGUAGUGGUUAUUUUUUUCCUUUUAAAUAAGCUUAGUGGUACUGGGUUGAUGUUCAGUUGGUAGAUGCUUCCCUGCAUGUACAUGUACAAAGCCCUGAGUUCACUUCCCAGCCCUGCAUCCCUUCACUUGUAGGCUGGGAGGGUCUCCUUCCAUCUCUUCAGUUCCUGACUCAAGCCUCUAAUGUGCAAAGGUUCCUUUCACUCUCUACCUCUAUGCCAUUCAGUGUGAUAGUUAUGUAGAUGUAAAUUCGUUAAAAUGGCCUAAAAUUGGACCCCCAGGUCCUCAGAGGCAGUAGGUACAUUGCAGAUGAUCAUGAGUCAUUUGGGUCAUUCAUUUACUGUCACUCAUGGCUGGAAGUUAUCUUGGGUCCACUGCCUGUGUUGGGUCAGUGACAGUUUAUUUAACACCUCUUUUUGUGGCCUUUUGUUUGCUCUAAUCCUGUGCUGCCUGGGUAGUCUUGGUAGUAGUUUGGCUAUGGUUCCCCUUCACUGAGGCUGUUGGCCAAGCAUUGUUUAUAUGAGAUGAUGGUGUUGUAUUUUUUUUAGUUGACUUAUUUUUAUUUUGUAUAUAUUGGUAUUUUGCAUGCAUGUAUGUCUGCAUAUAUAUCUGUGUGAGGGUGUCAGAUCCCCUAGAACUGGAGUUACAGACAGAUGUGAGCUGCCAUGUAGGUGCUGGGAAUUGAACCUGGGUCCUCUGGGAGAGCAGCCAAUGCUUUUAGCUGCUGAGCCAUCUCUCUAGCCUGGUUUUGUAUCUCUUGCAGUAGGAUUUAGGAUACUUACAAAAUACUAAUGGUUCUUGGUGGUCAGGAAAGAGGCAGCCAAUUAACAAUGUUAGAAAAUCAGACACAAAUUUUAUCAAGUCUUGGUAAGAUAGUUUGAAGUCUCUCUCUCUCUCUCUCUCUCUCUCUCUCUCUCUCUCUCUCUCACACACACACACACACACACACACACACUUUUAGACUUGGUUGAAAAGUUAAUUUGGUAACUCAGAUUUUCUGUGUUUUUUGUUUGUUUUUUUUUUUUUUCUCCUGAGACAGGGUUUCUCUGGCUUUGGAGGCUGUCCUGGAACUAGCUCUUGUAGACCAGGCUGGUCUCGAACUCACAGAUCCACCUGCCUCUGCCUCCCAAGUGCUGGGAUUAAAGGCGUGUGCCACAAAUGCCCAGCUGAUUUCCUGUGUUUUAAAGUUACCAUGUGAACUACUUACUUCGGUGUCCUAGGGUGUUCUUUGUUCUCUCUCAAAUUAGUUAACUAAUGAUGUUCAUUCCUUGUUAUCUUGGUGGGGUUCUUUUAUGACCUAUGAUGAAAUUGCUCCUUAAAUCUUCUAGGAGAGGCAGGCAUUGGUGACAGACACAUGCCUUUAAUCCCAGCACUCGGGAGGCAGAGGAUGGCGGAUCUCUGUGAGUUCAAGGCCAGCCUGGUCUACCGAGCGAGUUCCAGGGCAGGCUCCAAAACAAUACAGAGAAACCCUGUCUGGAAAAAAACAAAAAACCAAACCAAAACAAAAUCUGCUAGGAGAGUUACUGUUAGACUUCUCCCUGGCCAUGCUGUGUCCUGUGAUUCACAAGAGACAGCCAGCCCUGUGGCACGUACCACUGGCACUUGUAGUGGGCACAGCUUCUGUGUGCCUACAGGUAUGCUUAGGACUUGCAUGUUAACAUUGCCUCCUGCCAGGUAUGAUCACAGUGUGCUCUAUUAUGGAACCUAGAAAGAACUUCAGAAUUUUUUUUUUUUUUAAACAGGGUUUCUCUGUGUAGUCGCGACUGUCCUGGAACUAGCUUUGUAGACCAGGCUGGCUGAGAUCUCGGAGAUCCUGCUGCCUGUGGGUGCUGGGAUGAAAGGUGUACACCACCACUGCCCCAGCUAGAAACAAUAGAAGAUUAAAAAUAGUUAAUAAAAUGUAGCCCUGCCUGCCUGACAUCCACUUUUGCCUGUUGAGAUAUCACAAUUGCUUCUCAUAACUCCUGAAGUUCUAGUUGGUAACUUUAAUUAUGAUCAUGUUCCA